rnacentral:rRNA from 1 species
UAGCGUAGGGGGCAAGCGUUUGUCCGGAUUUAUUGGGCGUAAAGAGCGUGUAGGCGGCCAAGCAGGUCCGCUGUGAAAACUCGAGGCUCAACCUCGAGACGCCGAUGGAAACCAUGUGGCUAGAGUCCGGAAGAGGAGAGUGGAAUUCCUGGUGUAGCGGUGAAAUGCGCAGAUAUCAGGAAGAACACCCGUGGCUAAGGCGGCUCUCUAGUACGGUACUGACGCUGAGACGCGAAAAGCGUGGGGGAGCGAACAGG